rnacentral:lncRNA from 1 species
GUUGGUUUCAGGGAUAUGCUGCACAAUUUAAAAGCGGGCAGGCAAGAGAUUAGCGACAUAUGUAUAUAUAUUUUAAAUCACAUCCAAUUAUUGUUGAUACCUGGUUCCUAAUUUCUUGGCUAUGUAGUUCUGGCCUUGCUUCAGUGUUAUCCUCGCUGGUCCUAGCAUCAACUUCAGUUGUAUUAUUGUUAUUUGCCGGUGUACGUUGCGGAUUUUAAAAGAGGAUAGGCUAGAUAUAAGCGAGAUUGUGCAAAUUUAUAACACAACAGAAAUAAACAUGCAGAAAUCAUGUUCUGGUUACCUCUCCCAGUAAAGCCUGACGAUAAGGCGCCAUCAUUGUUUCAACUUCCCCCAUCAAUUCUUGUCUAAGCGCGGCUUUAAGUUGUUCUCUCUCUGCUUCCUUUUCAACUUCAUGCUUCUGCAUUUUUUCCUGUAACUGACGUUCCUGUUCUUCGAG